GACAGAGGGUGCGAACGUUGUUCGGAAUUACUGGGCGUAAAGCGCGUGUAGGCGGCAGCGUGUGUCGGGCGUGAAAUCCCACGGCUCAACCGUGGAAGUGCACUCGAAACUGCGCAGCUUGAGUCCUGGAGAGGAAGGUGGAAUGCUUGGUGUAGAGGUGAAAUUCGUAGAUAUCAAGCGGAACACCGGUGGCGAAGGCGACCUUCUGGACAGUGACUGACGCUGAGACGCGAAAGCGUGGGGAGCAAACGGG
rnacentral:rRNA from 1 species